CGCCCACUGCAUACCACACAUAGUUUUUUCUCCCUGCACGUCACUAGUGCGGGCUCCCACAUGAUGAGAGCAGGGCUUACCUGUCCCUCCCCUCUCCCCACUUGGAGGCAACGCCCCCUUUUCCACACUGACCCAUAGCAACGCAGGCUCCUUUACAGACCCCUCCCACCUUACUCCUCCCCCUCUCCUAUUUAAAAAGCCAAGCAGCCCCACAAUGUCAGACAUUGCUGGAUGGCUGCAGCAGCUGUACACACUCUACACUGCUUGUGUUUUCUUCCCAUCUUCCGAUCCCUCUACUGACCUCUCUGGCCACUUUUUGUCAUUACAGGUA